GACAGAGGGUGCAACCGUUGCUCGGAAUUACUGGGCGUAAAGCGCGUGUAGGCGGACUGGUAAGUCGGACGUGAAAUCCCUGGGCUCAACCCAGGAACUGCAUCCGAAACUAUCAGUCUGGAGUGGUGGAGAGGGAAGCAGAAUUCCUGGUGUAGAGGUGAAAUUCGUAGAUAUCAGGAGGAACACCGGUGGCGAAGGCGGCUUCCUGGACACUAACUGACGCUGAGACGCGAAAGCGUGGGGAGCAAACAGG
rnacentral:rRNA from 1 species